AGCGAACGCUGGCGGCGUGCUUAACACAUGCAAGUCGAACGGAACACCCUUGACAGAGGUUUCGGCCAAUGAGGAGGGCUGUUUAGUGGCGGACUGGUGAGUAACGCGUGAGGAACCUGCCUUUCAGAGGGGGACAACAGCUGGAAACGGCUGCUAAUACCGCAUGAAGCAUUUGGGUGGCAUCACCCGAAUCCCAAAGAUUUAUCGCUGAAAGAUGGCCUCGCGUCUGAUUAGCUAGUUGGUGGGGUAACGGCCUACCAAGGCGACGAUCAGUAGCCGGACUGAGAGGUUGACCGGCCACAUUGGGACUGAGAUACGGCCCAGACUCCUACGGGAGGCAGCAGUGGGGAAUAUUGGGCAAUGGACGCAAGUCUGACCCAGCAACGCCGCGUGAAGGAAGAAGGCUUUCGGGUUGUAAACUUCUUUUAAGGGGGAAGAGCAGAAGACGGUACCCCUUGAAUAAGCCACGGCUAACUACGUGCCAGCCGCCGCAGUAA
rnacentral:rRNA from 1 species